GGCCGCGUGGCUCAAUGGUAGGGCGUCAGAUUUCGGCUCUGAAGAUUGUGGGUUCGAGUCCUACCGCGGUCG
rnacentral:tRNA from 1 species